rnacentral:rRNA from 1 species
GAUGAACGCUAUUGGGAGGCCUAACACAUGCAAGCCGAGCGGUAUUGUUUCUUCGGAAAUGAGAGAGCGGCGUACGGGUGCGGAACACGUGUGCAACCUGCCUUUAUCUGGGGGAUAGCCUUUCGAAAGGAAGAUUAAUACUCCAUAAUAUAUUGAACGGCAUCGUUUAAUACUGAAAGCUCCGGCGGAUAGAGAUGGGCACGCGCAAGAUUAGCUAGUUGGUGAGGUAACGGCUCACCAAGGCGAUGAUCUUUAGGGGGCCUGAGAGGGUGAUCCCCCACACUGGUACUGAGACACGGACCAGACUCCUACGGGAGGCAGCAGUGAGGAAUAUUGGUCAAUGGGUGCAAGCCUGAACCAGCCAUCCCGCGUGAAGGACGACUGCCCUAUGGGUUGUAAACUUCUUUUGUAUAGGGAUAAACCUACCCUCGUGAGGGUAGCUGAAGGUACUAUACGAAUAAGCACCGGCUAACUCCGUGCCAGCAGCCGCGGUAAUACGGAGGGUGCAAGCGUUAUCCGGAUUUAUUGGGUUUAAAGGGUCCGUAGGCGGACUUAUAAGUCAGUGGUGAAAGCCUGUCGCUUAACGAUAGAACUGCCAUUGAUACUGUAAGUCUUGAGUAUAUUUGAGGUAGCUGGAAUAAGUAGUGUAGCGGUGAAAUGCAUAGAUAUUACUUAGAACACCAAUUGCGAAGGCAGGUUACCAAGAUAUAACUGACGCUGAGGGACGAGAGCGUGGGGAGCGAACAGGAUUAGAUACCCUGGUAGUCCACGCCGUAAACGAUGCUAACUCGUUUUUGGGCUUUAGGGUUCAGAGACCAAGCGAAAGUGAUAAGUUAGCCACCUGGGGAGUACGCUCGCAAGAGUGAAACUCAAAGGAAUUGACGGGGGCCCGCACAAGCGGUGGAUUAUGUGGUUUAAUUCGAUGAUACGCGAGGAACCUUACCAAGACUUAAAUGGGAAUUGACAGCUUUAGAAAUAGAGCUUUCUUCGGACAAUUUUCAAGGUGCUGCAUGGUUGUCGUCAGCUCGUGCCGUGAGGUGUUAGGUUAAGUCCUGCAACGAGCGCAACCCCUGUCACUAGUUGCCAUCAUUCAGUUGGGGACUCUAGUGAGACUGCCUACGCAAGUAGAGAGGAAGGUGGGGAUGACGUCAAAUCAUCACGGCCCUUACGUCUUGGGCCACACACGUAAUACAAUGGCCGGUACAGAGGGCAGCUACACAGCGAUGUGAUGCAAAUCUCGAAAGCCGGUCUCAGUUCGGAUUGGAGUCUGCAACUCGACUCUAUGAAGCUGGAAUCGCUAGUAAUCGCGCAUCAGCCAUGGCGCGGUGAAUACGUUCCCGGGCCU